GGUUAUUCUGCAGAGCCGCUAUUCUCAUGCUUUGCAAGGCUUUCAAGGCUCCUGAUUGGAUGUUACGGGUCGGUUCAUUUUCCUUGAUGGACAACGCUUCUAGGAUAUCGUCGGGGCAGACCGUGGUGAUUUGUGUGUUUUUUUUUUCUAUUAUUUUUCUUGUUAGGCGUGACUUGUGUUCUUCUUCCAGAUGUUUCUUCGGAGCCCCUGACGUGAGCUGUUUCGGAGAACAAUAGGAGGGACCCCAUCAGAUCCAUAAGCCUUCCGAGGGUUUAGGCCAGCGAAGGCAUGGAAAACAUCACUGCGAAGAAUUUUAAUAGGUGGCAUGAAGUAGUCAGAGGGUGGAGGAGACACUGGAAAAGUACUACUGCAUCCACUACUUCAGUGGAACACGACCACCAUAAUAAACAGAAAAGAAGAAAACAAGAAAUAAAAUAGAAGGAAGGAAGAAAGAAAGAAAAAAGAAAGAAAGAAAAAAAGAAAGAAGGAAGGAAGAAAACAAAGAUUAAGUAAGGUUAAGAAUUAGUUAAAAGGAUGGCUUCCACACAAAACAAAUAAACAUGACAAUGAUGGCCAUGGACACAAGGUGCAAACAUGAAAUGAAUGCAGGAAAUCGUCGGAAAGAAAAAAAAAGUAUUCCCCCACACAAGAGCAAAUCAAUAAAUAAACAAAAAAGAUCUUCACGUAUGUAACUUUUCGUGUAAAAAAAAAAAUUCAGCGGAACACAUUCCAGCAGCCCUUCAGGCGGCGCGGCAACAGGUCUUCACUGUGCCUUGGGAGAUGUUUUGUAUUAAUCACAAAAAAAUAAAAAUAAAAUAAAAUAAAAGAGAAAAAACAAGAAAAAAAAAACAGACUUACACAAGAUUAGCGACGGGAAUUACCGGCCUGGAAGCUCCGUCAGGUGAACAAGCCUUGUGCAUGUCCAGGUAUAAAAGCAGGACGGCGCCACGCAGCUCACCAAACACACCUGCUCCACCACAGCUCAGCCUUGCCUCAUUCCCUCACUGGACGCCAUGCGAGCACUGACCCUCUUGUUGAUGGUGGCCGUGGCCCUGACGGCGCUGGUGGUAGUACAGGCCAUGCCAGAACCCCUCCCUGAUCCAGACCCUGAGGCCCUCCCAAACCCAGAGGCGUUCCCUGACCCAGAGGCCUUCCCUAAUCACGGCAGGCGAUAUGGCGGCCGAUACGGUAGCCAUGGACAUAGAUACGGUGGCCACCACCACUACCACCCUCACCGCCGCCCACACAGCCACGUCCACUACACUACCUACCACUGAAGACCACACGAGACAGACCAGGACACCGGAAUAAGCAAGCAUUGAAUUAUUAAGGACUCUCCUACACCACAAAACUUCAGGCAUCUUCACCGCCUCCACCAUUCCUCUUAAAUAUGAUUCUAUGAACCACAAAAAAAAAAUAAAUAAAAUAAAUAAGUAAAUAAAUAAAUAAACUGAAUUAU